UCCAGUUGCAGACUUUUUAGAACUCGGUCUAUUUUUACGGUUAUUUUUCACAUUUUCUGAAUGGAAAUUUAACUUGAAAGUAGGGAUCUCCGAGGGCUAUUUAGUUUGAAAGAAUCUCUUUGAAGCUGAAAAUUCUUUAUUGAGGUGUUUCUUUAAAGGAAAGGUGUUUGUUGCGGAGCUGCUCCUGGAGGAGAUCGGGUAUUGCUGAGCGCAGUUCAAUUCUAUUGUAGCAGAGGAGG